GAGUUUGAUCCUGGCUCAGAAUGAACGCUGGCGGCGUGCUUAACACAUGCAAGUCGAACGAGAAAGAUCUUGCUUGCAAGAUCGAGUAAAGUGGCGCACGGGUGAGUAACAUGUGGAUAAUCUACCUUCGAAUCGGGGAUAACAUUACGAAAGUGAUGCUAAUACCCGAUAACAUUUAUAAUUUUUUGGAAUAAUAAAUCAAAGGCAGCCUCUUCUUGAAAGCAGUUGUUUGAAGAUGAGUCCGCAUACCAUUAGCUAGUUGGUGGGGUAAAGGCCUACCAAGGCGACGAUGGUUAGCUGGUCUGAGAGGAUGAUCAGCCACACUGGAACUGACACACGGUCCAGACUCCUACGGGAGGCAGCAGUGAGGGAUUUUGCGCAAUGGGGUAACCCCUGACGCAGCAACGCCGCGUGAGUGAUGAAGGCCUUUGGGUCGUAAAGCUCUGUCAACAAAGAAGAAAUUGCAUAGCAUUAAUAGUGUAUUGCAUUGACGGUAUUUGUAAAGGAAGCACCGGCUAACUCCGUGCCAGCAGCCGCGGUAAUACGGGGGGUGCAAGCGUUAUUCGGAAUUAUUGGGCGUAAAGGGCGCGUAGGCGGUUUUACAGGUCAGAUGUGAAAGCCCGGGGCUUACCCCUGGAAGUGCAUUUGAAACCGUAAGACUUGAGUAUGAGAGAGGGAAGUGGAAUUCCUGGUGUAGAGGUGAAAUUCGUAGAUAUCAGGAGGAACACCAGUGGCGAAGGCGACUUCCUGGAUCAAUACUGACGCUGANGCGCGAAGGCGUGGGGAGCAAACAG
rnacentral:rRNA from 1 species